AUACGAAAGGUGCAAGCGUUGUUCGGAUUUACUGGGCGUAAAGAGAGUGUAGGUGGUUUAUUAAGUCGGAUGUGAAAUCCCGGGGCUCAACCUCGGAACUGCAUUCGAUACUGAUAGGCUAGAGUUUGGGAGGGGUAAGCGGAAUUCCGGGUGUAGCAGUGAAAUGCGUAGAUAUACGGAGGAACACCUGAGGCGAAGGCGGCUUACUGGACCAAUACUGACACUGAGACUCGAAAGCGUGGGUAGCAAACAGGAUUAGAAACCCUAGUAGUCC
rnacentral:rRNA from 1 species